CAGUAGCCACGGGAAUACGGAGGGUGCAAGCGUUAAUCGGAAUUACUGGGCGUAAAGCGCACGCAGGCGGUCUGACAAGUCAGAUGUGAAAUCCCCGGGCUUAACCUGGGAACUGCAUUUGAAACUGUCAGGCUGGAGUCUUGUAGAGGGGGGUAGAAUUCCAGGUGUAGCGGUGAAAUGCGUAGAGAUCUGGAGGAAUACCGGUGGCGAAGGCGGCCCCCUGGACAAAGACUGACGCUCAGGUGCGAAAGCGUGGGGAGCAAACAGGAUUAGAUACCCGCGUAGUCCCUGUCUCUUAUAC
rnacentral:rRNA from 1 species